UUAAAUCCUCUAAGUGCUAGAUGCUUUUUAUGGCUUUCGGUUUUAUAAAUGGGGUAGGGACCAACUGAAAGACAGGAAAAUAAGGCCCUUGAUGCCAUUAAUCUUUUAUCCUCUUGCCCUCAUUGGUAUCUUCAUCCCACCUUGGGUCCCAGUCCCCUCUCCUGUUCCCACACCACCUGUCACAUGCAAGGGAUGAUGGCUGUCUGCUCCUGGGUCUAUGCUUUGUGGAAGAAGGAUGCUGUGGAGGGAGCAUAUCCAAGCUCUAAAGUGGCAUUCUCUCCCACCCUUUGCAGUUCUGCCUCCUGGGGGCAUUGCUGGCCCCCAUCCGAGUGCUUCUGGCCUUUAUCGUCCUCUUUCUCCUCUGGCCCUUUGCCUGGCUUCAAGUGGCCGGUCUUAGUGAGGAGCAGCUUCAGGAGCCAAUUACAGGAUGGAGGAAGACUGUGUGCCACAACGGGGUGCUAGGCCUGAGCCGCCUGCUGUUUUUCCUGCUGGGCUUCCUCCGGAUUCGCGUUCGUGGCCAGCGAGCCUCUCGCCUUCAAGCCCCUGUCCUUGUUGCUGCCCCACACUCCACUUUCUUUGACCCCAUUGUUCUGCUGCCCUGUGACCUGCCCAAAGUUGUGUCCCGAGCUGAGAACCUUUCCGUUCCUGUCAUUGGAG
rnacentral:lncRNA from 10 species